AACGCGAAGAACCUUACCUGGAUUUGACAUCUUCUGACAAACGUAGAGAUACGUCUUUCGUAGCAAUACGACAGAAAGACAGGUGCUGCAUGGCUGUCGUCAGCUCGUGUGGUGACAUGUUGGGUUAAGUCCCGCAACGAGCGCAACCCUUGUCCUUAGUUGCCAGCAUUCAGUUGGGCUCUCUAAGGAGACUGCCGUGGUUAACACGGAGGAAGGUGGGGAUGACGUCAAGUCCUCAUGGCCUUUAUAUCCAGGGCGACACACGUGAUACAAUGGACGGUACAGAGGGAAGCGAAGGGGCGACCUGGAGCCAAUCUCAAAAAGCCGUUCUCAGUUCGGAUUGGAGUCUGCAACUCGACUCCAUGAAGUUGGAAUCGCUAGUAAUCGCGGAUCAGCACGCCGCGGUGAAUACGUUCCCGGGCCUUGUA
rnacentral:rRNA from 1 species